rnacentral:rRNA from 1 species
AGUGAACGCUGGCGGCAGGCCUAACACAUGCAAGUCGAGCGGCAGCGGGUCCCCGCGAGGGGAUGCCGGCGAGCGGCGGACGGGUGAGGAACACAUCGGAAUCUGCCUGGUUGUGGGGGAUAACGUAGGGAAACUUACGCUAAUACCGCAUGCGACCCUGAGUCGACGGACUUGGGGUGAAAGUGAGGGACCUUCGGGCCUCACGCGACCAGAUGAGCCGAUGUCGGAUUAGCUAGUUGGCGGGGUAACGGCCCGCCAAGGCGACGAUCCGUAGCUGGUCUGAGAGGAUGAUCGGCCACACUGGGACUGAGACACGGCCCAGACUCCUACGGGAGGCAGCAGUGGGGAAUCUUGGACAA